UCCGGUACGGUAUAAUGGUCAACAUUGCCGCCUCUCAUCCAUUUACCACCUCUCAGGACCAAGUCCGCGGCAGCUCGGGGUUCGAUUCCCUGUACCGGAA